CGCGCCGGCCKUUUGACGCUGAAGUACUCCAGAAGUGCAAACGAAGCAGUUAGUACCAUAUGACUUCUUUACUGCUUCUAAUGAAGCUAUCAUAGUCAUUCACAAUGGGCAAGACAAGGAACAGAGACUUAUUUUAUCAAGGAUCCUUUUCGUCUACACUUCCCCCGCGGUCCUGGGGGUCCUGGAGAGCCUGGAUCACCUUUAGGCCCUGGCGGACCUAGUUCGUUGAUGAAACCAUAGCAAGCAGGAUACAGCAAGAACGCCCCGAAGUACGUCUUAGUGGAAUGGAAGUUAUAAAACCCGUUAACAUGUACCCUCAAUGAAAUCUYAUCCCCUGUAUCCAAGCGAAACAURGCACCAUUAUAAUUGCUAUUGUACUUGGUAUUAUUAUUGGUCACACCGCUUGAGCUGUGUAGUAUUUUCACCCUGUUUCUAUAAAGGCCGUGGGAAUAAUGGAUUCUAAAGAGCAUGCGCCUUAAAACGUGUUUCAUCRGAUAAACGCACUUUUAAUCAUCCCAUAACGUUCAUAGAAGUAUACUUUACCUUGRUAGACUUGGCUCAAAU